rnacentral:rRNA from 1 species
UACGUGGGGUGCAAACGUUGCUCGGAAUUAUUGGGCGUAAAGCGCACGUAGGCGGCUCUCUAAGUCGCAUGUGAAAGCCCCAGGCUUAACCUGGGAAGUGCAUGCGAUACUGGAAAGCUUGAGUACUAGAGGGGGUCGCGGAAUUUCCGGUGUAGAGGUGAAAUUCGUAGAUAUCGGGAGGAACACCAGCGGCGAAGGCGGCGACCUGGAUAGAUACUGACGCUGAGGUGCGAAAGCGUGGGGGAGCAAACAGG